rnacentral:rRNA from 1 species
GACGAACGCUGGCGGCGUGCUUAACACAUGCAAGUCGAACGGAAAGGCCCUGCUUUUGUGGGGUGCUCGAGUGGCGAACGGGUGAGUAACACGUGAGUAACCUGCCCUUGACUUUGGGAUAACUUCAUGAAACUGGGGCUAAUACCGGAUAGGAGCUCCUGCUGCAUGGUGUGGGUUGGAAAGUUUCGGCGGUUGGGGAUGGACUCGCGGCUUAUCAGCUUGUUGGUGGGGUAGUGGCUUACCAAGGCUUUGACGGGUAGCCGGCCUGAGAGGGUGACCGGCCACAUUGGGACUGAGAUACGGCCCAGACUCCUACGGGAGGCAGCAGUGGGGAAUAUUGCACAAUGGGCGGAAGCCUGAUGCAGCAACGCCGCGUGCGGGAUGACGGCCUUCGGGUUGUAAACCGCUUUCGCCUGUGACGAAGCGUGAGUGACGGUAAUGGGUAAAGAAGCACCGGCUAACUACGUG